CACGUAGGGUGCGAGCGUUUGUCCGGAAUUAUUGGGCGUAAAGAGCUCGUAGGCGGUGUGUCGCGUCGGCCGUGAAAACCUGCAGCUUAACUGUGGGCUUGCGGUCGAUACGGGCAUCACUUGAGUUCGGCAGGGGAGACUGGAAUUCCUGGUGUAGCGGUGAAAUGCGCAGAUAUCAGGAGGAACACCAGCGGCGGAAGGCGGCGCUCUGGGCC
rnacentral:rRNA from 1 species